UGACCAAGGGGUCGGGACGUUCUGCCUGUUUCAGGGGCGGAGUGACCUACGGGUACAGGGAGUACCUGCGAAAGGGCCGGGUCAGGAAAAAG
ncrna:Pseudomonas sp. GM67 ivy-DE RNA